GAGGAGCCGUGACCCGGCCUCACAGGAAGGGCCAGGGCGAAGACGUAUCCCCGACGGCCAAGACACGGCCACGGUGGUGAUUUUUGAUGGUGAGACAGAGCAGACUCGAGCGACUUUGCCCAGCCAGGUACAUCCUUGUACACAACUACAUGGUAGCAAAUUGAACAAAAUGUGACUUGAUUAGUAUAGUAGCAAGAAAAAUUAUGUGUCCAGCAGGGAUGCACAUGGUUUCCAUUCAUAGCGACAAAUACUGAUUCCCUCUACCGCUUCAUUCCUCGUGUCUCUCAUUAUUCACCUUCUCCUCUUGCAAGAAAGAUAGUGUGUGCCUCUCCUUAAUCACCCUCUCCUCUUGCACAAAAGACAACACGUCAUCAUUCUCCCUGCUCCUCCACCCCCUCCAUCACAAUUCUCAAGGCUCUAGCAUUAUCGUUGUUUCAACGAUAACCUGGGAGAAGUAUCUGCGCUUUAAAAAAAUAACAUAAUCAAGUUUUCAUGAUAAUUGUUCCAUCCAAACCUAGAAUGUACUUUUACUUCUUUCUUGAUGAUACAAGAGUACUAUAGUUAUAUCUGAUCACUUUUACAAACACAUCUUUGUUAGAACCAGUAGCUUAGAACACACACGUUGGAUUUUUGUUGUAUCAGGUUCUUUUAGAUUUUAUUCCCUCCAUUCCGAUAUACAAGUCUUUUUACAAAUUACAAUGACGACUAUAUAUGGAUGUAUAUAAACAUAUUUAAAAAUGUAGAUUCACUCAUUUUGCUCCGUAUGUAGUCUACAUUGAAAUAUCUAAAAAGACUUACGCUUAGGAACGGUGGUAAUAUACAUAACAUGGGACACAUCCGCGAUGGCCUCGUGUGACUUCGCCUGUGUGUAAACAUUAGACAAAUAAUAGAUUGCAACUGUAAUCUCAUGCGAGUUUUUUCACAGCAUUGAAGCCGUAUAAAGAUGGUAAGCCAUCUGAAAAAAUAGGCCAGAUCUGGAAAAAAUGCAGAAAGGAAACUGAACCAUUUAUAGGAGAACAGUAAGGAAACCGAACAAUAUAUUCAGGGACGAACACGAUGUACUGGUAUUUUUGAAAUAUAAGCUAGCUCCCAUGGCACCUUCGACAAAUAUGAUACAUGUUAUAUGCAUGUAUACGUAACAAAUAUGGAAGAACUAUUUUGUUAAUUCUCAUCCAUAAACUCACAAAAUUCCACUUUGACAAAAUAGCUGAUUGAAAAGGCGUAGAGCCUUUUCUUAAAUAUAUUGAUAAAAGCUCUAAUAAAUAAGGAAGAGGGAGAAAGCAAAAGCACAUAUUGGAGACCAGUGAAGAAAGUAAUGUUUCCC
rnacentral:lncRNA from 1 species